CUUGGCCUACAAAACGUUGAACUUUCUACUUUCUACUGAUAAGGAUGUCAAGAUCACAACCUGAAAAUUGUGGCACUGCAUUAUUCUAUCCUCGAUUGGAUAACAUGGCAACUUGUACCAUCCAAUUCAAGACACAACAAGAGUGAACAAACAGUUACAGUGAUGCAAAGUAAAUCCAAAAGUACCCAACACUCCUUUAAAAGAAAUAGGUCGCAUUCCAGCUGUAGGCCUCCCACAUAAAAACUGAGAAAACUAAUUAUCAGAGAACCCACAUAACAGAGGCAAAUGAGCUGCAAGCAAGCAUCAAAUUUUGCAUUCCAGUCUAGUGAAAUCAUCACCAAGAACAGACCAGAGGAUGACCGUCAUAAAGAACCGUGCACAACCAGAAUGAACUGAAACUAAAAUUGACAGAUUGAAGCCACGAACCCCACAUUUUGCGGCACAAAAAAGGCAUGAAACCCACUUUACACUUCCAAGUCCAAACCAAAAGGAGCCACAUUUGGCAUUUCCACUGGCGCGGCAUGAUCGCCUUCAUAGUCACACACGCCAUUAGGAUCCCCAAAAGCUACAGAUUGCUAAGGCCUAAAUACCUACAUUUCAUCACAAGAAACCAAACCUUAACUACAUGGACACUACGAUAUUUAGUUACUAUCCCAAUUUGCAAACCAUCCACAUUCCUCCUGAGCAGUUAGUAGUAAAGCAUAAGCAUAUAUUGGUAUGAUCAAAAGGCACAACCUUUUUUCACCUUCCCACCGAUCAGGACAUGGUGGUGAACAACUCGAUCUCGUCGUCGCGGAACCCCAGCUCGCUCAGCUCCACCGUCUCGUUGAUGUUGAUGCCGGUGCAGCCCUUCUCGUCAAUCCCGUCGCUGUGCUCCUCGAACGCCGCCGCCGCCUCGAGAUUGACGACGGCGGCCGUCGCCUCCUCCUCCUCCUGCUCCGCCUCGGCGCGGGCCCUCCCCUUGAGGCACACGCACACCUUCUUCCUCGAAGUGGGUCCAGGGCGCGCGGGGGCGGCGGUGGACGGGGUGGCGGUGGCGGGGGCGG
rnacentral:lncRNA from 1 species